rnacentral:rRNA from 1 species
UACAGAGGUCCCGAGCGUUGUUCGGAUUCACUGGGCGUAAAGGGUGCGUAGGUGGUGCGGUAAGUUUGAUGUGAAAUCUCCGGGCUCAACCCGGAAAUGGCAUUGAAUACUAUCUUGCUAGAGGAGUGGAGGGGGGACUGGAAUACUUGGUGUAGCAGUGAAAUGCGUAGAUAUCAAGUGGAACACCAGUGGCGAAGGCGAGUCCCUGGACACUUCCUGACACUGAGGCACGAAAGCUAGGGGAGCAAACAGG